rnacentral:pre_miRNA from 1 species
UUAAAAUACAGCCAUGAUUUUUCGUGUACAAUUUUGAUCGUCCGUCUUAUUUAAAAGGUUUUUUUUUUUAAAAGUUAAAAAAUAUGAGUUGUGUAUAAGUACUAUUUAUAUUUUAUCAUCUAAUAACGAUAAAAUACUAAUCAUAACAAACUUUCAAAUAAAGUUGGACACGAAAAUUUAUGAUUAUACUUACAAUAGGAUAGGAAGACGGAUGAUCAAAGUUGGACACGAAAAUUUAUGAUUAUACUUACA